AAAUUGAAGAGUUUGAUCAUGGCUCAGAUUGAACGCUGGCGGCAGGCCUAACACAUGCAAGUCGAACGGUAACAGGAAUCAGCUUGCUGAUUCGCUGACGAGUGGCGGACGGGUGAGUAAUGUCUGGGAAACUGCCUGAUGGAGGGGGAUAACUACUGGAAACG
rnacentral:rRNA from 1 species